GCUAUACCUAAUCAAGCUAACACUGAUUGGUUAAAAUUUUUAGGAUUCUUAUAAUCUUUAUCUUUGAUCAUUGCCCCAAACAGCUAUCAGUGCAGACCUUUUCUCCUGCUUUCUGUCUCUCUACCCCAGUUGGUAUAAAGUAGUAUUUGUUCCAGGGCUAUCUUAAAAGGCCAGUGCAAGGACUGAGAAGACACUGGAUCCUACUCUUUUGCAAACUGUCACAUUUCUUUAACUGAAACUGUUUUUUACCUUAUUUCCUCUUUUGUAAAAUAAAUUGUCCCAUGUCCCUGCUGUGAUGUCUGUCAACCUGAAAACCCCUGUCACUGAGCACCAUUCACAUUCAUUUACUGUUGCUUUGAUACCUUUAAUAAUGGGCUCCUUCUCCUGAAGUCCUUGUAACAGGAAACCCUGUGAGAGUGCUAUAAUAAAACGUCCCGUCGUCAGAAGUGAAUGUAAAAGACAUCAUGUU
rnacentral:lncRNA from 1 species